rnacentral:sRNA from 2 species
ACUUCCGGUAGGUAAGGCUACCAUAGGGAUAUGGGUUGCUGCCGCGUAACGGUGGAGACACUGUGAGCUGGUCAACAGAGCAUGUCGAAAACAAGGCGUGAUCUAACGCAACUGCACCGCCCUAUGAAGCUAAAGCUCAAAUGGC